AUCCGGAGGGUGCAAGCGUUAUUCGGAAUCACUGGGCGUAAAGGACGCGUAGGCGGGUUGGCAAGUCAGAUGUGAAAUCCUACAGCUUAACUGUAGAACUGCAUUUGAAACUGCUAACCUAGAGUAUGGGAGGGGGAGAUGGAAUUAGUGGUGUAGGGGUAAAAUCCGUAGAUAUCACUAGGAAUACCGAAAGCGAAGGCGAUCUCCUGGAACAUAACUGACGCUAAGGCGUGAAAGCGAGGGGAGCAAACAGGAUUAGAUACCCUAGUAGUCC
rnacentral:rRNA from 1 species